AUUCAGCUGAAGAGUCUCAAAUAGGACGAAACACACGUCCUGGAU
rnacentral:hammerhead_ribozyme from 1 species